rnacentral:lncRNA from 14 species
UUUUGGGAGAGAAGAGUGGGAUAGGAGGAGGUGGCCACGAAGCCUGAAGCAGAAAGACACAGAUGCCCAGACAGUGAAACGCCACAUGUUGCUGGUGACGAAGGCAGCGGAGAGUCUGGACAGAAGCAGAAGCAGGAAUGGAUGAAACAAGAAGGUUGCUGUGGCCACCAGCUCCACCUGCCCAGCCCGGACUGCAGACAAGGCUCUGGAAGGACAGACAACACACUAAUGACAAGUGUCCUUUGGAAAGCUGGAACAGACUCUGCCCUAAUAAAUGAGUGGCCUGUGGCUGGGAUGGCA